UGGGGAAUAUUGCGCAAUGGGGGAAACCCUGACGCAGCAACGCCGCGUGAGUGACGAAGGCCUUCGGGUCGUAAAGCUCUGUCGGAGGGGAAGAAACUACCAAUGGCUAACAUCCAUAGGUAUUGACGGUACCCUCAAAGGAAGCACCGGCUAACUCCGUGCCAGCAGCCGCGGUAAUACAGAGGCCACGAACGUUGUUCGGAAUCACUGGGCAUAAAGCGCACGUAGGCGGCUAGGUCCGUCCAAUGUGAAAGCCCCCGGCUCAACCGGGGAAUUGCAUCGGAUACAGCCUGGCUUGAGGACGGUUGGGGUGAGUGGAACUCCUGGUGGAGCGGUGAAAUGCGUAGAUAUCAGGAGGAACACCGGUGGCGAAAGCGGCUCACUGGACCGUAACUGACGCUGAGGUGCGAAAGCUAGGGGAGCAAACGGGAUUAGAUACCCCUGUAGUCCCUGAGCGGGCUGGCAAGGCGCAU
rnacentral:rRNA from 1 species